rnacentral:rRNA from 1 species
CUGGCGGCGUGCUUAACACAUGCAAGUUCGAACGAAUGAAGCUCUAGCCUGCUAGGUGGAUUAGUCGGCGAACGGGUCGAGUAAUACGUCGAGUCGACCUACCUUUUGACUCUGGGAUAAGCCUGGGAAACUGGGUCUAAUACCGGAUACGACCAAUCUCCGCAUGGGGUCGUUCGGUGGAAAGCGUUAUGGAGUGGUUUUAGAUGGGCUCACGGCCUAUCAGCUUGUUGGUGAGGUAAUGGCUUACCAAGGCGACGACGGGUAGCCGGCCUGAGAGGGUGACCGGCCACACUGGGACUGAGACACGGCCCAGACUCCUACGGGAGGCAGCAGUGGGGAAUAUUGCACAAUGGGCGCAAGCCUGAUGCAGCGACGCCGCGUGAGGGAUGACGGCCUUCGGGUUUGUAAACCUCUGUUAGCAUCGAAGAAGCGAAAGUGACGGUAGGUGCAGAGAAAGCGCCGGCUAACUACGUGCCAGCAGCCGCGGUAAUACGUAGGGCGCGAGCGUUGUCCGGAAUUAUUGGGCGUAAAGAGCUUGUAGGCGGUUGGUCGCGUCUGCUGUGAAAGGCUGGGGCUUAACCCUGGUUUUGCAGUGGGUACGGGCUAACUAGAGUGCAGUAGGGGAGACUGGAAUUCCUGGUGUAGCGGUGGAAUGCGCAGAUAUCAGGAGGAACACCGAUGGCGAAGGCAGGUCUCUGGGCUGUAACUGACGCUGAGAAGCGAAAGCAUGGGGAGCGAACAGGAUUAGAUACCCUGGUAGUCCAUGCCGUAAACGUUGGGCACUAGGUGUGGGGGACAUUCCACGUUUUCCGCGCCGUAGCUAACGCAUUAAGUGCCCCGCCUGGGGAGUACGGCCGCAAGGCUAAAACUCAAAGAAAUUGACGGGGGCCCGCACAAGCGGCGGAGCAUGCGGAUUAAUUCGAUGCAACGCGAAGAACCUUACCAAGGCUUGACAUAUACUGGACUGCGUCAGAGAUGGCGUUUCCCUUCGGGGCUGGUAUACAGGUGGUGCAUGGUUGUCGUCAGCUCGUGUCGUGAGAUGUUGGGUUAAGUCCCGCAACGAGCGCAACCCUCGUUCUAUGUUGCCAGCACGUGAUGGUGGGGACUCAUAGGAGACUGCCGGGGUCAACUCGGAGGAAGGUGGGGAUGACGUCAAAUCAUCAUGCCCCUUAUGUCUUGGGCUUCACGCAUGCUACAAUGGCCGGUACAGAGGGUUGCGAUACUGUGAGGUGGAGCUAAUCCCUAAAAGCCGGUCUCAGUUUCGGAUUGGGGUCUGCAAACUCGACCCCCUGAAGUCGGAGUCGCUAGUAAUCGCAGAUCAGGCAACGCUGCGGUGAAUACGUUUCCCGGGCUUUGUACAACCCCGCCCGUC